AUACAGAGGGUGCAAGCGUUAAUCGGAAUUACUGGGCGUAAAGCGCACGCAGGCGGUUUGUUAAGUCAGAUGUGAAAUCCCCGGGCUCAACCUGGGAACUGCAUCUGAUACUGGCAAGCUUGAGUCUCGUAGAGGGGGGUAGAAUUCCAGGUGUAGCGGUGAAAUGCGUAGAGAUCUGGAGGAAUACCGGUGGCGAAGGCGGCCCCCUGGACGAAGACUGACGCUCAGGUGCGAAAGCGUGGGGAGCAAACAGGAUUAGAUACCCUGGUAGUCCACGUCGUAAACGAUGUCGACUUGGAGGUUGUGCCCUUGAGGCGUGGCUUCCGGAGCUAACGCGUUAAGUCGACCGCCUGGGGAGUACGGCCGCAAGGUUAAAACUCAAAUGAAUUGACGGGG
rnacentral:rRNA from 1 species